rnacentral:rRNA from 1 species
CGAAAGUUACGUUAAUACCGCAUAUGCCCUGAGGGGGAAAGGGGGGGAUCGCAAGACCUCUCGCUUUCGGAGUGGCCGAUAUCGGAUUAGCUAGUUGGUGAGGUAAAGGCUCACCAAGGCGACGAUCCGUAGCUGGUCUGAGAGGACGACCAGCCACACUGGAACUGAGACACGGUCCAGACUCCUACGGGAGGCAGCAGUGGUUUGGACAAUGGGCGCAAGCCUGAUCCAGCCAUGCCGCGUGAGUGGCCUUCGGGUUGUAAAGCUCUUUCAGCCGGAAAGAAAUUGCUUCUAUUAAUACUAGGAGUAGAUGACGGUACCGGAAGAAGAAGCACCGGCUAACUACGUGCCAGCAGCCGCGGUAAUACGUAGGGUGCGAGCGUUAAUCGGAAUUACUGGGCGUAAAGCGUGCGCAGGCGGUUUGGUAAGACAGACGUGGAAUCCCCGGGCUUAACCUGGGAACUGCGUUUGUGACUGUCAGACUAAA